rnacentral:lncRNA from 1 species
UGGUCUAUAAUAACCACACUUGACCCUUUGAGGAUAUGCAAUGAUCUACUUGUGCAGCUUCUCUGGUGAAAUAGCGCCUACUUUUAACUUCUUAACCUUGAAUUGUUGAAUAAUAGAUUAAGUACUCAACAGAGAGAGGUAAGUGUCUGUAGUCAAUGGCAAAGAAAUUACCUAGAAAGAAUAUUAAGAACGAAUCUUUCAGAAGGGAGAAAGAGUAAGACAGGGAGAAAAAGUAUAGCAAUAGGAUACAUGUCUCUUUCAACUUCAAAGAGAAGUCCACUAUAUGGAUGAGUGGGGAACCACUAAUGUGUACUAUCAUCUGUAGUGUGCAUCCAAUAAUGGCUAUUUCUUUAAUCUACUUUUGGUUCAAAAGAAAAGUCAAAGUUAAAUUUCAAGGGAGAAAUGCCAUAUCUAUUCAUCAGCCAGUCUAAUGGAUAAAUUUGCUCAUAUAGAAACGGAUAUGCACAAUCUAAUUGUCUUGCAGUUACAAUCAUGAAGAGAUAUGCAUAAGAAACCACUUUUUCUUUGUUUACUAUAACUGCUAUCACUCGAAGCUAUAAAAUUUUCAGAUGAACUAUUACUAACUUGAAACAUGAAGACAACUCAAUUGGAAAAAGGAAACUAAGUUGGCUCGUCUUCAGCUUUAGUGAUCAGGUUUGCGAUGUUCCUAAUUAUCAUUUCUAAUAAAUGUACAUGCUUAGGAUGAGCUUUUACUAGAAACCUUCACCUCACAUCUUUUCUCAGAUAGCGAACAAAUCAUUGUAACAAAAUGACGAAACUUAGAUGUAUCAAGACAAACUGAACUGCCAAGAGAAGAUGACAAAUAGAAUAUGGGGAAGCGGCCGUUCGAAAAGGACUUCAAAAAGCUGAAUUGACCAGAGUGUAUUGAAGAGAAAAUAGCAUGUAACAACAUCCUUACCUACUUAUUUUAGGAAAAAAGAAAAAACAUCAAGGUGUGGAGGGUUCAAAGUCCAAGUCAAAAGCAACGAAAGUAAACAGAUUGAAUCAUUUGGCAAUCAUUAUGCAAUUGUCAACAUCCACUAAAAAUAUAAUUCUAUUUUGCUCCAGAUGUGGCAGGCAGAAUUUUGUAUAACUACUAAUUCAACCUAACCAAUUGAUACCCCUCUUAGGGCAGGUAAUCACCACAUAAAAGCUAAUUAAAUUUCCUAAAACAAAAAAUUCAUUUUCCCAAAAUUUUCAUCCAAACCCCACCACCAAAAAUUUCUCUUAGGACACACAAAUUGCAUAUUUAUGGAAACCAAAUGAAAAAACGAAGAAAGGGAAAAUGGAGCAAUUAGGUAAAGAAUAGUACAAUCCGACUAGUAAAAAUACCAAUUCUACAUCAGAUCUUGCUGCUAUAUUGAAACAUUUACAGUUAAUAAGACUUUACAAGCACUUGUGGAACAAGCACAAACUUUAGCCAAGAAUUAGGUGAAAAAGAUCCAAACUUUAAAGAAGAACAAAAAAAAAAGAAGGUUAAAGCUUUUAAAGAAACAUCAAGAAAUGAUGAGGAAUAAGAAGAAGAAAGACUUACAUAUUGCCAUUAGAAGAGUAUUGCAAAGGCAGCAGCUUUUACAACAAUUCUGUUGUAAAGACAGGAGAAAGACAGAUCACUCUGAAAUGGGGCUAAUUGUGUCCCAGAGUUAUUACUUGUGUUGUGACAAAAACCCAGUAACUUACACUGCUAAAGGUAUGAAUACCAACCUACAACAAAUGUUGUUGGAAUUUGCUUACUACACUAAGAAAUAGUAAAAAGUUACUUUAAGAAAAAGGAAAGGAAGAAGAAAUUAGAGGAAUUUGAAG